UACGUAGGGGGGCUAGCGUUGUCCGGAAUCAUUGGGCGUAAAGAGCGUGUAGGCGGUCCGGUAAGUCCGCUGUGAAAGUCGGGGGGCUCAACCCUCGAAUGCCGGUGGAUACUGUCGGGCUAGAGUGCGGAAGAGGCGAGUGGAAUUCCUGGUGUAGCGGUGAAAUGCGCAGAUAUCAGGAGGAACACCUAUUGCGAAGGCAGCUCGCUGGGACGUAACUGACGCUGAGACGCGAAAAGCGUGGGGGAGCAAAACAGG
rnacentral:rRNA from 1 species